GUCAGGCAUGGUGGUGUGUGCCUAUAGUCCCAGCUACUUGGGAGUCUGAGGUGGGAGGAUCGCUUGAACCCAGGAGUUCUGGGCUGUAGUGUGCUAUGCCAAUCAGGUGUUCACACUAAGUUUGGCAUCAAUAAGGUGACCUCCUGGGAGCGAGGGACCCCCAGGUUGCCUAAGGAGGGGUGAACCGGCCCAGGUCGGAAAUGGAGCAGGUCAAAACUCCCAUGCUGGUCAGUUGUGGGAUCAUGCCUGUGAAUAGCCACUGUACUCCAGCCUGGGCAACAUGGCAAGACCCCAUCUCU
rnacentral:SRP_RNA from 1 species